CCAAGCAGAGAAGCGUGCAUGGAGGAUGAUCUGGCGUCCAGAGCCUAAGAAGGACGUGGAAUAGCUGCGAUAAGCCACGGGGAGCCGCUAAUCAGGCAUUGAUCCGUGGAUUUCCGAGAUGCGGUAACGCGCCGAGGGUAGUGCCUCGGCAACCCAUGGUGAAUACAUAGCCAUGAGGUAGGGAACGUGGGGAAUUGAAACAUCUCAGUACCCACAGGAAUAGAAAGAAACCUCGACUCCCCUAGUAGCGGCGAGCGAAAGGGGAAGAGCCUAAACCGGCGUUGUGUAAGGCGGUGGCCGUUGCAGCGUCGGGGUCGUGGGACUUGUACACGAACCCACCAGUUCGUAAUGGAGUAAAAAAUCAUUUGUCUAGCUGAACAAUCUGGAAAGGUUGGCCGCAGAGGGUGAAAGGCCCGUAAGCGAAAGGCAGAUGACUCCAGCAAGUAUCCCGAGUAGUACCCGGCACGUGAAACCGGGUGCGAAUCGGCGGGGACCACCCCGUAAGGCUAAGUACUCCUGGACGACCGGUAGCGAAAAGUACCGCGAGGGAAAAUUGAAAAGAUCCCCGGUGAGGGGAGUGAAAAGUACCUGAAACCAUGCACGUACAAGCUGUCGGAGGCCUAUGCCCCUUCGGGGGAAUGGUUGACGGCGUGCCUUUUGCAUAAUGAUCCGGCGACUUACGAUGUCAGGCAAGAUUAAGUGGCUCCGCCACGUAGUCGAAGCGAAAGCGAGUGCGAAUAGCGCGUCAAGUCGGGCGUCGUAGACCCGAAAGUAGGUGAUCUAUCCAUGGGCAGGGUGAAGCGGAUGUAACAAUCCGUGGAGGCCCGAACCAGUGCGGGUUGCAAACCACUUGGAUGACCUGUGGAUAGGAGUAAAAAGCUAAUCGAACUUACAGAUAGCUGGUUCUCCCCGAAAUAGCUUUUGGGCUAGCGUCGGGAAAUUGCCGCGCGGGGGUAGAGAGACUGAUUCAGAAUGGAGGGCCACCAGCCUAUCCACCUGAGCCAAACUCCGAAUACCGCGUUGGUGUACCCCGGCAGUCAGACGGUGGGCUAUAAGGUUCAUCGUCAAGAGGGAAACAGCCCAGACCGCCAGCUAAGGCCCCCAAUUGAGACUCAGUGUGGUAAAGGAUCUGGGAUUGCUAAGACAGCCAGGAUGUUGGCUUAGAAGCAGCCAUCAUUUAAAGAGUGCGUAAUAGCUCACUGGUCGAGCAGUCCUGGGCCGAAAAUGAACGGGACUCAAGUCUCAAGCCGAAGCUGCGGAACCAUGACCGUGAAGGUCAUGUUUGGUAGGGGAGCGUCGAUCAUGCGUCGAAGCCGUACGGAAACGAGCGGUGGAGCGUGAUCAAGUGCUUAUGCCGGAAUGAGUAACGAUAAAAGAAGUGAGAAUCUUCUUCGCCGUAAACCUAAGGUUUCCUGGGGAAGGGAAUUCCGCCCAGGGUUAGUCGGGACCUAAGGCGAGGCCGAAAGGCGUAGUCGAUGGACAACGGGUCAACAUUCCCGUACUACCGGAGAUCGUUUGACCAAUGGCGUGACGGAUUGUCGAAGGAAGUCGCAGUGCUAGUCAUCUGCGUGCAAGCCUGAGGGAUGCUGUAGGUAAAUCCGCAGCUUCAAUCCCAGGGGUGAUGCCGAGGCCUUGAGCCGAAGCUUUUGGAGAUGGUUCCCGGAAAAGCGUCUAGGGAGAUCAAAGGUACCCGUACCAAAACUGACACAGGUUGGUGAGGAGAGCAUCCUCAGGCGCUCGAGAUAACUGCAGUUAAGGAACUCGACAGAUUCAUCCCGUAAGUUCGCAAGAAGGGAUGCCCUAGUUCGUGAAGAAGUUCGCCUUUAGAGCGAACCGGGGCCGCAGAGAAUCGGGGGUGGCGACUGUUUACCUCAAACACAAGGCUCUGCGAAGCCAUAAAGGCGACGUAUAGGGCCUGACGCUUGCCCAAUGCUGGAAGGUCAAGAGGAGAUGUCAGCCGUAAGGUAAAGCAUUGAAUUGAAGCCCCAGUGAAUGGCGGCCGUAACUAUGACGGUCCUAAGGUAGCGAAGUUCCUUGUCGGGUAAGUUCCGACGCGCAUGAAUAGCGUAACGACCUCCCCAUUGUCUCAACUGCAGGCUCGGUGAAAUUGUAGUCGAGGUGAAGAUGCCUCGUAACCGCACCAAGACGGAAAGACCCCGUGAACCUUUACUGCAGCCUGGUAUUGGGCCCUGGUGCAACAUGUGUAGGAUAGGUGGGAGGCUUUGAAGCCGGCACGCCAGUGUCGGUGGAGCCAUUGGUGAAAUACCACCCUUGUUGUACUAGUGUUCUAACUUGGAUUCCGUGAAGCCGGACCAAGGACAGUUUCAGGUGGGCAGUUUGGCUGGGGCGGUCUCCUCCCAAAAAGUAACGGAGGAGCCCGAAGGCACCCUCAGGACGGUUGGUAAUCGUCCGCAGAGCGUAAGGGUAUAAGGGUGCUUGACUGUGAGACUCAUAAGUCGAGCAGAUGUGAAAGCAGGGCCUAGUGAUCCGGCGGAUUCCACGUGGAAGGGCCGUCGCUUAACAGACAAAAGGUACUCCGGGGAUAACAGGCUGAUCUCCCCCAAGAGUCCACAUCGACGGGGAGGUUUGGCACCUCGAUGUCGGCUCAUCGCAUCCUGGGGCUGGAGAAGGUCCCAAGGGUUUGGCUGUUCGCCAAUUAAAGCGGUACGCGAGCUGGGUUCAGACCGUCGUGAGACAGGUCGGUCCCUAUCUGGUGUGGUUGUAGGACACUUGCGGAGCCCUCUCCCUAGUACGAGAGGAUUGGGAGGGACGAAGCUCUGGUGCACCUGUUGUCUCGCUAGAGGCACGGCAGGGUAGCUAACUUCGGAACGGAUAAGCGCUGAAAGCAUCUAAGCGCGAAGCCUUCUCCAAGACUAGGUGUCCCAAUGAGGGCCGUCGGAGACGACGACGUUGAUAGGCGGUAGCUGUAAGCACAGUAAUGUGUUCAGGCGAGCCGUACUAAUCGCCCGAUCGGCUUGGUUCC
rnacentral:rRNA from 1 species